UGGACUCCGUGAUUCUAGUACUCGAAGAC
rnacentral:piRNA from 1 species